rnacentral:misc_RNA from 1 species
GAUGAAGAACGUAGCGAAAUGCGAUAAGUAAUGUGAAUUGCAGAAUUCAGUGAAUCAUCGAAUCUUUGAACGCACAUUGCGCCCAUUAGUAUUCUAGUGGGCAUGCCUGUUCGAGCGUCAUUAAGUCCACUUAAGCCCUGCUUAGUUUUGGGAGACUGCUCCAGCGGUGCUACCCUGUAGCUACCCUGCAGCUCCUCAAAGACAGCGGCGGAGUUGUGGUAUCCUCUGAGCUUAGUAACUUGUUCUAGCUUUCGAGUACACCACUUCCCCUGCCGUAAAACCCUUAAUUUUUAAUGGUUGACCUCGGAUCAGGUAGGAAUACCCGCUGAACUUAAGCAUAUCAAUAAGCGGAGGA